rnacentral:rRNA from 1 species
AUUGAACGCUGGCGGCAUGCCUUACACAUGCAAGUCGAACGGUAACAGGUCUUCGGAUGCUGACGAGUGGCGAACGGGUGAGUAAUACAUCGGAACGUGCCUAGUAGUGGGGGAUAACUACUCGAAAGAGUGGCUAAUACCGCAUGAGAUCUACGGAUGAAAGCAGGGGAUCGCAAGACCUUGUGCUACUAGAGCGGCCGAUGGCAGAUUAGGUAGUUGGUGGGAUAAAAGCUUACCAAGCCGACGAUCUGUAGCUUGUCUGAGAGGACGAUCAGCCAGACAGGGACUGAUACACGGCCCAGACUCCUACGGGAGGCAGCAGUGGGGAAUUUUGGACAAUGGGCGCAAGCCUGAUCCAGCAAUGCCGCGUGCAGGAUGAAGGCCUUUGGGUUGUAAACUGCUUUUGUACGGAACGAAAAGCCCUGGGUUAAUACCCUGGGGUCAUGACGGUACCGUAAGAAUAAGCACCGGCUAACUUCGUGCCAGCAGCCGCCGUAAUAC